UUUGCCAAAGCUGUCUGGUUGAAGCUUACCACUCAUGAACGGUGGGUCAUGCCAAAAGUUCUUGUGCAUGGCGAGAUUGAGAGAGAUAACAGAUGGCCUAAGAAAUGUUCAGCCAACAGCUAUUGAAGGUCUUGGCUUCUUUAACAAAUAUCUCAGAAGGGAAAGGAGGAUGGACGCAUCUGUAAGCUGAGCUGUCUAUGUUUGUCACGAGAAACGAAAAGGUUAUCAUCCUGAAUAAGAUGCUUUUACCCAGCAGGAAGUUAUAUGGUAAUGGCCAUGCAACAACUAAACAGAUCAAUUAACAUAAAUGACAACCGGAUGAAUGAAUUGUUUUCUGAAUUUCUUCACAUACAAAUAUACUAGGAUGUUAAACUGGAGGCAGCUCUUUCAUUGCCAGAGGAAGAAAGCCGUGCAUUACCGCUGAUAUUUAUGAUCCUGUCUGCAGAUUGAUAUCUAAGUUCCAUUGUCUGCAUUAUAUGAAAACGAUAUCAACUUGACACAAAGGAAAUAUGGAUGACAAGGAAGGCGGGGAAAGGCCGAUAUACUAUGAGUUGCAGGAUCUUUCUCAUUUAUACUGCUAUUUUUUUUUUUUUUGCUUUAUGUGAGCACAUAUGAAAUUUAGGAUUGUGAUUUCAUAGGACUUUCCUGUUAGUGAUUUUUUGCAUCUUUGUAAUUUUUGAUUUGUGCCUCCAUUUGUAUAUUUCCCUACUUUUUUACUUUGUAAAUUUCCCUACUUUUUUACUUUGUAUAUUUCCCUACUUUUUUACUUUGUAUAUAACCACGGCUGCACUGCUGGUUGAUACAAAAGAGACAACAAAGGUUCCCAAAUUAGUUGUGUAAGAUCCCAACACCUCCUUAGGCAUGUAGAAAAUGAUCUGUAGGGUCAGCAGCCUCUGGAUCUGCUUGAUUCUUGCGUCCACAGGUCGGUCAUGUUAGAUCCAAAAUAGUGGCACAGGACAGAAUCCUGAAUGCUGGAUAUCAACAAGGUGCUUCUCCAACAAAAUGGUUGGAUUCAAAAGUAAAGAUUAACAAAUGUUUUAUUGUAACUAAUCCUACACAUUCAAAUUCUUCAUCAGGAAAGUCUGAAGCUCAGGCUGUUUAUUUGCGUGUAGUGCGUCUUCUUUCUGUGUCUCACCUAUGGCUUCUUUCUAUGGUGGUCUCUGUGUUCACCAAAUGUGUGGUAUAUAUUUUCCUCCUUGGUAUAUGUUGCAGUCUCUGGGGGGAGGAGGGGGGGUCUACUGUACUGGCCCUGCGGAUGUGCAAAAGCUGGCACUACUUCCGAGAGGUUUUUCUCAGGCAAUGCCUGUUCUCUAGUGAGCAAGUGCCAAGAGUGUUUCCCCUGUCAGUGAGGUUACCCCAAAGGCUCCUGUUGUACCUUAGCACAGUGCACCCAGUACAGGAAAAAUGUUUCCCAGCAAAGACUUCCAGGUAAAAAGUUUUUCUUAAUUGAUUGCAAGAUAAAAUAAUUUGAGGACAUCAGUUCAGACAGUUAAAAUGGCAUUGAGCGUCGGCAGACAAAGAGUGCUUGACGCAUAAAAUGGAUACCCUUUGUCCCAUGGAGGAGCUCUCUGCAAUACUGAC